UACGUAGGGACCGAGCGUUGUCCGGAAUCAUUGGGCGUAAAGAGCGUGUAGGCGGCCUUUUAAGUCCUGCGUGAAAUCCUGCGGCUCAACCGCAGACGGUCGUGGGAAACUGGAAGGCUAGAGUCCGGAAGAGGCGAGUGGAAUUCCUGGUGUAGCGGUGAAAUGCGCAGAUAUCAGGAGGAACACCAAUGGCGAAGGCAGCUCGCUGGGACGGUACUGACGCUGAGACGCGAAAGCGUGGGGAGCAAACAGG
rnacentral:rRNA from 1 species